rnacentral:rRNA from 1 species
UGGGGAAUAUUGGACAAUGGGCGAAAGCCUGAUCCAGCCAUGCCGCGUGUGUGAAGAAGGUCUUCGGAUUGUAAAGCACUUUAAGUUGGGAGGAAGGGCAGUAAGCGAAUACCUUGCUGUUUUGACGUUACCGACAGAAUAAGCACCGGCUAACUCUGUGCCAGCAGCCGCGGUAAUACAGAGGGUUCAAGCGUUAAUCGGAAUUACUGGGCGUAAAGCGCGCGUAGGUGGUUCGUUAAGUUGAAUGUGAAAGCCCCGGGCUCAACCGGGGAACUGCAUCCAAAACUGGCGAGCUAGAGUAGGGCAGAGGGUGGUAGAAUUUCCUGUGUAGCGGUGAAAUGCGUAGAUAUAGGAAGGAACACCAGUGGCGAAGGCGACCACCUGGGCUCAUACUGACACUGAGGUGCGAAAGCGUGGGGAGCAAACAGG